GAUUUCAACUAAAAAAGUUAUCAACAACAAAGUUGUAUAACUCACCAAGAUCUAUAACUUUUAUGUUUGCCAUUUCUUCAUCCGAUAAAAUGCUAGUAAUAUUGUUCACAAAAUUUACAUAUAUGUGUUAUAGUUUAUAAAACUAGAUGAGAGAUAUGUGAAUCUUGUGAAUAAUAUUACUAUCACUUUGUCGGAUGAAGAAAUGACCAAAAUAAAAAUGGUAGAUCUCAAUGAGUUCUACAACUUUGUUUUUNAUAGCUUUUUCAUAUGAGUUC
rnacentral:pre_miRNA from 1 species